rnacentral:lncRNA from 1 species
CCUCUCCUUGUUAAUGAGCCAUGAAUUGGUAGCAUUUCUGUGUGUCCCUUCUGAAAUUACCUUCUAACAUGCAUCGCUUUUCUGCUGAGCGCACUUGUGCCCCUUCUGGUACGAGCCACGAUGGCGACUUUCAGAGUGGUCUGGGCUUCAGCCUCCAGCCCUCCUAAUGGCCUGAGUGGGCCCCAGUUCCAUGUCUCCCCUCUGUUCCGUCACAGAUUGGGGCCCAAUGGGAGGAGAGCCGGGCAGAGGACUGCAUGGUGAGGACGGCGCUGGCAGGCAUGCAGCGCCCCGAGGGAGCCCCCGGAAUGGGACUUCCUGGACAGCCACCCCAUCCACGCAGACUCCCUCCUGGACCCCUCUGGGGCCUGCAUUCCUGCCCUGAAGGAGGGGAUGGUGCGAAGGUCCUCCUUUUCUGUCCUCUACUUCUUGGUGGAGCUGCACUCCCAGGAGAAUCCACCAGCUGAACUCCUGACCCAGCUGGUGCAAGCUGAGCCCACUGAGGCACAGCCCACGGGUGAGGAGGACGGGGUGUGGGCCUGUGGGCAUGAGGGGAGGGAUGGGCCUUUAGACACAGAGACAGCUUCCGGGUGCUGGGGUGACCUGGGAUCACUGAGACCUCAGCCGUCAUGGUCUGGGAGGACUUCC